rnacentral:lncRNA from 1 species
GGUUACUCUCCCAUGCUACAGUAGGUUACUCUCUCCCAUGCUACUGUAGGUUACUCUCCCAUGCUACUGUAGGUUACUCUCUCAUGCUACUGUAGGUUACUCUCCCAUGCUACUGUAGGUUACUCUCCCAUGCUACAGUAGGUUACUCUCCCAUAUGACUGUAGGUUACUCUCCCAUGCUACUGUAGGUUACUCUCCCAAGCUACUGUAGGUUACUCUCCCAUGCUACUGUAGGUUACUCUCCCAUGCUACUGUAGGUUACUCUCCCAAGCUACUGUAGGUUACUCUCCCAAGCUACUGUAGGUUACUCUCCCAUGCUACUGUAGGUUACUCUCCCAUGCUACUGUAGGUUACUCUCCCAUGCUACUGUAGGUUACUCUCCCAAGCUACUGUAGGUUACUCUCCCAAGCUACUGUAGGUUACUCUCCCAUGCUACUGUAGGUUACUCUCCCAUGCUACUGUAGGUUACUCUCCC